UUCGUAGGCGGUCAUAUAAGUCAGGGGUGAAAUCUAGCGGCUUAACCGUUAAACUGCCCUUGAAACUGCAUGACUUGAGUACAGGAUAGGAAAGCGGAAUUCUCGGUGUAGCGGUGAAAUGCGUGGAUAUCGAGAGGAACACCCGUGGCGAAAGCGGCUUUCUGGCCUGAUACUGACGCUGAGGAACGAAAGCCAGGGGAGCGAACG
rnacentral:rRNA from 1 species